rnacentral:misc_RNA from 1 species
AAAAAAAAAAAGGUCAUGGGUUCAAUAAACUUUUCUUAGUUAAUCUACAAGCAAAUUUAUGUACUCUGCCAUUUAAAAAUGGCUAUAAAAAGCACUAUACAUGUUUAAAAUCCAAUUUUAGGCACCUUCUAAACUUUAAUUACAAUGGCAAUAGAUUAAAUUAUCACAACCUUUAUGGAUCUAACUCAAAGCAAUAACCCUCCUUCUCUCUUUCAUUUUUAGAUAGGAAAAGCAUCACUUGCCUAACAAACAAAGAACAAUAGUUGCAUACGACUACAUAUCGAUUGGGCAUGGUCAAGUCAUCAUAGAGAUAUUUUCAAAAACCAAACUAAACCAUUUUAUCAUAGAAAGCAAACCAUAAUUUGGUUUGUAAUACAAUUUGGACUUUUCAUUGGAUGCAAG